rnacentral:rRNA from 1 species
UACGUAGGGAGCAAGCGUUGUCCGGAAUUAUUGGGCGUAAAGAGCGUGUAGGCGGCCAGGUAGGUCGGUUGUGAAAACUGGAGGCUUAACCUUCAGACGUCGACCGAAACCAUCUGGCUAGAGUCCGGAAGAGGAGAGUGGAAUUCCUGGUGUAGCGGUGAAAUGCGCAGAUAUCGGGAGGAACACCUAUGGCGAAGGCAGCUCGCUGGGACGUUACUGACGCUGAGACGCGAAAGCGUGGGAGCAAACAGG